rnacentral:rRNA from 1 species
GACGAACUCUUGCGGCGUGCCUAACACAUGCAAGUCGAACGGAGAAUUUUAUUUCGGUAGAAUUCUUAGUGGCGAACGGGUGAGUAACGCGUAGGCAACCUGCCCUUUAGACGGGGACAACAUUCUGAAAGGAGUGCUAAUACCGGAUGUGAUCAUCGUGCCGCAUGGCAGGAUGAAGAAAGAUGGCCUCUACAAGUAAGCUAUCGCUAAAGGAUGGGCCUGCGUCUGAUUAGCUAGUUGGUAGUGUAACGGACUACCAAGGCGAUGAUCAGUAGCCGGUCUGAGAGGAUGAACGGCCACAUUGGGACUGAGACACGGCCCAAACUCCUACGGGAGGCAGCAGUGGGGAAUCUUCCGCAAUGGACGAAAGUCUGACGGAGCAACGCCGCGUGAGUGAUGAAGGAUUUCGGUCUGUAAAGCUCUGUUGUUUAUGACGAACGUGCAGUGUGUGAACAAUGCAUUGCAAUGACGGUAGUAAACGAGGAAGCCACGGCUAACUACGUGCCAGCAGCCGCGGUAAUACGUAGGUGGCGAGCGUUGUCCGGAAUUAUUGGGCGUAAAGAGCAUGUAGGCGGCUUAAUAAGUCGAGCGUGAAAAUGCGGGGCUCAACCCCGUAUGGCGCUGGAAACUGUUAGGCUUGAGUGCAGGAGAGGAAAGGGGAAUUCCCAGUGUAGCGGUGAAAUGCGUAGAUAUUGGGAGGAACACCAGUGGCGAAGGCGCCUUUCUGGACUGUGUCUGACGCUGAGAUGCGAAAGCCAGGGUAGCGAACGAGAUUAGAUACCCCGGUAGUCCUGGCCGUAAACGAU